CCCAUACUCGGGGAUAGCCUUUCGAAAGAAAGAUUAAUAUCCGAUAGCAUAUAUUUCCCGCAUGGGUUUUAUAUUAAAGAAAUUCGGUAUGAGAUGGGGAUGCGUUCCAUUAGUUUGUUGGGGGGGUAACGGCCCACCAAGACUACGAUGGAUAGGGGUUCUGAGAGGAAGGUCCCCCACAUUGGAACUGAGACACGGUCCAA
rnacentral:rRNA from 1 species